rnacentral:rRNA from 1 species
UAUCUCUGUAGAGUCUGCAUAUCAAUAAGCGGAGGAAAAGAAACUAACUAGGAUUCCCUCAGUAACGGCGAGUGAAGCGGGAAGAGCUCAAAUUUGAAAUCUUCAAGGUUCUACCUUGACGAAUUGUAGUUUAAAGAAGUGUUUUCUGUUGGAGUUUUGGUAAAAGUUCUUUGGAAUAGGACAUCAUAGAGGGUGAGAAUCCCGUAUUUGACCAUUAUUUCCAGCUUUGUGAUACACUUUCAAAGAGUCGGAUCGUUUGGGAAUGCAGUCCAAAAUGGGUGGUAAAUUUCAUCUAAAGCUAAAUAUUGGCGAGAGACCGAUAGCGAACAAGUACCGUGAGGGAAAGAUGAAAAGAACUUUGAAAAGAGAGUUAAACAGUACGUGAAAUUGUCAAAAGGGAAGCGUUUGACACCAGUGUUGUUUUCUCGAAAAUCAAUUAAAAAAGGCAGGAUUUUGUGUUGUAUUGACUUUAUCAGCUUUCUGCACUCUUUUCUUGUCUUUUUUAAUGCACUUUUCGUUUAACAAGUCAACAUCAAUUUCUUUUGUUGUAAAAGGGUCAUUGGAAGGUGGCUUUCUUUUCGGAGAAAGUGUUUAUAGCCUUUGGCCUCUGCAAUCGGAGAGAUUGAGGUCUGCAGCGUAGAUCCUUCGGGGUUAGAUACAUUUGUGCUAAGUUAUAGCCUUUCAUAGACAACUUGUUGACUAUGAUCAGUCAUGUAGCUUACUCGCUUAUGCUAUUUUACCUACGCUUAGGAUGUUGACGAUCAGCUGAGCGCG